rnacentral:rRNA from 1 species
AUUGAACGCUGGCGGCAGGCCUAACACAUGCAAGUCGAGCGGAGCGGCGGACGGGCGAGAAAUGCCUAGGAAUCUGCCUGGUAGUGGGGGAUAACGUCCGGAAACGGGCGCUAAUACCGCAUACUAUCAGAUGAGCCUAGGUCGGAUUAGCUAGUUGGUGGGGUAAAGGCCUACCAAGGCGACGAUCCGUAGCUGGUCUGAGAGGAUGAUCAGUCACACUGGAACGGAGACACGGUCCGGACUCCAUCGGGAGGAGACGGUGGGGAAUAUUGGACAAUGGACGAAGCCCUACUCCGACCAUGCCGAGUAGGUGAAGAAUGGCUUCGGAUUGUAAAGCUCUUUUUGUUGGGAGGCGUUAUCAACAGAAUAAGCACCGGCUAACUCCGUGCCAGCAGCCGCGGUAAUAC